GAGGUGAGGCACGCCUGAGCACUUCCUUGCCUCUGCCAGGCAGGAAGGCUGGCCUACUGCGUGCACCAGAUGGGCUCCUCCUAGGUGUUCCUAGAUGAGAGUUAUCUAGGGCCUGAAGAAGGACAAAGGGACUCUGCUUCUGUCUUUACACCUCAUUGCUGCUGGCUGGGAUACCGGCCUCCAGACAAGGGUGUUUGCAGUCCCAGAAUGCGCUUUCCAAAUCAUGGCCGUGAAACCCUACCCUCUGAAGUUUCACAUAUUUCUUGGUGCUUGCGAUGUUUCUUCCUGUGACUUCAUUCUGUCCCGGUUGUGUUCUGUCUCAUUGCCCUCAUGCUGAGAAGGAAACAGAGACACUGAGCCUGAAGACAAGAGUGCAGAGCCAAGUAACACAAGCAGCUUGUACUUAAGGCCGUUGGCCUAGGGAAGAGAACACCUGGAUGGGUCAGUCCUGGCAACUGCAGACAGAAGCAUCGCUCAUGUUGUCAAGGGCAUGAGCCCCAUUACAGACCCGGAAGCUGGGCUUCCAGGAAGCCAAUGAUCUCACCAGAACCUGGUCUCACAGCCUACACUUGCUCCAGCUUGGGUUCUCGCUCAGAAACACAUUCUCAAUGGAAAUUUUAAUCUCCUACCCCCACACCCCUGCCCUGGAGCACUACAGACUCUCUGACACCCUGACUCCCUCUCAGGCUGGGAGGAGGAGGAAUCAUGGAGAUCCAAGAGCAAACCCUGUUUCCUUCCCUGCUUCCUUCCUCCCUCCAGUUUGUAUCUGUUCCUGGAAAUCCCUGUUGUACCUACCCACCCACCCACAUUGCCCCAGAAAAAUCCCAAGAGAGCUUCGCAACUCUAUUUAAACCCCCGCUGGAGCGCACGGAACCGCGUCGUCCUCCUAGCCCGCACUGGGUCUCCAUCUGGUUCGGGGGCUAUUUUGAUCUACCGGAUGCAGAUCAGCCGCUGAGAUCUGGGGCUGAGUGGCUAGAGCAACGCCUUUAUCUACAGAAGGACAAUUUAGAAACUAACGCAAAGCCCAGAGAACAAAUAAAUAAAUUCCUCUUUCUGUUCACA